rnacentral:rRNA from 1 species
UGGGGAAUAUUGGACAAUGGGCGCAAGCCUGAUCCAGCCAUGCCGCGUGAGUGAUGAAGGCCCUAGGGUUGUAAAGCUCUUUCACCGGUGAAGAUAAUGACGGUAACCGGAGAAGAAGCCCCGGCUAACUUCGUGCCAGCAGCCGCGGUAAUACGACGGGGGCUAGCGUUGUUCGGAUUUACUGGGCGUAAAGCGCACGUAGGCGGACUAUUAAGUUAGGGGUGAAAUCCCGGGGCUCAACCCCGGAACUGCCUUUGAUACUGGUAGUCUUGAGUUCGAGAGAGGUGAGUGGAAUUCCGAGUGUAGAGGUGAAAUUCGUAGAUAUUCGGGGAAACACCAGUGGCGAAGGCGGAUCACUGGCUCGAUACUGACGCUGAGGUGCGAAAGCGUGGGGAGGAAACAGG